CCUACGGGGGGCUGCAGUGGGGAAUCUUGGACAAUGGGCGCAAGCCUGAUCCAGCCAUGCCGCGUGGAUGAUGAAGGCCCUAGGGUUGUAAAAUCCUUUCGUUGGGGACGAUAAUGACGGUACCCAAAGAAGAAGCUCCGGCUAACUUCGUGCCAGCAGCCGCGGUAAUACGAAGGGGGCUAGCGUUGUUCGGAUUUACUGGGCGUAAAGCGCGUGUAGGCGGACUUGUAAGUUGGGGGUGAAAUCCCGAGGCUCAACCUCGGAACUGCCUCCAAAACUACAAGUCUGGACUCAAGUAGAGGCAAGUGGAAUUGCGAGUGUAGAGGUGAAAUUCGUAGAUAUUCGCAGGAACACCAGUGGCGAAGGCGACUUGCUGGACUUGUAGUGACGCUGAGACGCGAAAGCGUGGGGAGCAAACAGGAUUAGAUACCCCAGUAGUC
rnacentral:rRNA from 1 species